ACACGGAUGUUUCAGGCUGGUGGUAAGAAAUACGUGAACUACACCAUACAGAGGUGACCUAGCACAAACUUGGACAGACAGUUGAUGUGAAAUUCAUUUUGUGGCCAGCUUUCCAGUAGACUAUGAGCUCCUCAAGGUAAGAGUAUCCUUCUCUGAUCCUUGUGUCUGCAGGGUCUAGACCAAUGCUGGACAUAGUGGCCUUUGGUGAUGAACAGGAUUGAGGCGUUAAGCAGACAGGCAGGACGAAAACAAGAGAUUCCGGACAGCAGUUCCCAAAGGUGGGGUUGAGCCCAGGGAUUGGCCAUUAAGACUCAUCUGGAGAAAUUCUGAAACAAAACAAAAUCCACACACAUUUCCACCCUUCUGAGAUUCUGAUCAUAGGUGGGGCCCAGGAAAAGAUGGAUUUAUCUUGAAGCUACUGAAGCCUAAACUUUGGGAUCUUUACCUUCUAGGCACAGUCCCUUCCAGGGUCCUGAGAAGAGCUCCAGCAAUUUCUUAUUAUUCAUUUUAUAUUUUUAAAAGAGUAUCCUCUACAUGGAAUGACCUCAAGCCCCACAAAACCUGGACCAGCCUCUGGCCCCAAGAUCCGGAGUUUUAAUAAGCUGGUCAGGUGAUUCCCAUAUGCCAAGAGGAUCAGGGAUCACUUGUUACUCAAAGUGCAAUUCACAGACCAGAAUUAUUAGCAUCAUGGAUGAGCAUGUUCAAAAUGCAAGGUCUCAGCCCUCCUGUCAGACCCACUGGAUCUGAGUCUCUAUUUUCACUGGAACUGUGGGCUGACUCACAUGAAAAAUAUCACAUUCAAAAUAAAGUUUGUGAAGUGC
ensembl:lncRNA